AUUGAACGCUGGCGGCAGGCCUAACACAUGCAAGUCGAGCGGAUGAAGGGAGCUUGCUCCUGGAUUCAGCGGCGGACGGGUGAGUAAUGCCUAGGAAUCUGCCUGGUAGUGGGGGAUAACGUCCGGAAACGGGCGCUAAUACCGCAUACGUCCUGAGGGAGAAAGUGGGGGAUCUUCGGACCUCACGCUAUCAGAUGAGCCUAGGUCGGAUUAGCUAGUUGGUGGGGUAAAGGCCUACCAAGGCGACGAUCCGUAACUGGUCUGAGAGGAUGAUCAGUCACACUGGAACUGAGACACGGUCCAGACUCCUACGGGAGGCAGCAGUGGGGAAUAUUGGACAGUGGGCGAAAGCCUGAUCCAGCCAUGCCGCGUGUGUGAAGAAGGUCUUCGGAUUGUAAAGCACUUUAAGUUGGGAGGAAGGGCAGUAAGUUAAUACCUUGCUGUUUUGACGUUACCAACAGAAUAAGCACCGGCUAACUUCGC
rnacentral:rRNA from 1 species